rnacentral:lncRNA from 1 species
GCCUACAUUUUUGUUUGUUUUAGUGGAUAUUAGUCACUGUACUGUUGACUCAACAUUUGAACACUAAAAGCCUAAGGAAAAUAAAAUGUUAUCAAGUUUGAUUUCUAAUUGAUGGUUUUCUAUUUCAGGGCUAACAAAUCUAUGGCUGUUCAGACACUCUGCCCAUAAAUCCCUGUUCAUGGGCACUAGAUCACUCCAAGCAGCUAUGAAAGCUUAUACAAUUUCUACAAUAUCUUUCUCUCAGUCUCAAAGUCUGGGCUUGAAUUUGAUAAGCAUGUGAUCUGUAUACUUAAAAAAACACUUCCACCCCUAUAAACUUGCCUACACAUUCAGCUUUUAGUACCACCAACACUGGUAAGUGUAUACCUUUGCUUUGCUUCUACCACUGUUGCCAAUUGACUACAUCCAUAGAGGUUGUUCCCACUCCCCAGUAAUGCAGUUUGGGAUAUCGUUGAUAUUCAUAUACUGUUAAUAGUGUUCAUCUUUAUUUGGUAAUUU